GCCCCUAUAGCUCAAUUGGCAGAGCAACUGACUCUUAAUCAGUAGGUUCCAGGUUCAAGUCCUGGUGGGGGCA
rnacentral:tRNA from 1 species